rnacentral:lncRNA from 10 species
ACAGCUUGACCCCCGAAGGUCAGGCAGCUCCCCUCAGACUGCAGACCUGCCAGUUGGAAACAUUCUCAACUCCUCCUGUCUUUCCCUCUCCCCUGUCUUCUGAGAAAAGGAAGCCCCUUAAACCUCCUAGAUCAAGCCCUAACUGGAACCCCACUGAGUUCCGCACUCUGUCAUCUGACACAGACCUAUUCGGAGGGAAACUGGUAGAACCAGAGCAUUGGCAGGCUCCCACCUCCCAGCAUUAGCAGGCACAGAGCUGUGAUGCCACAGUCUCCUCCAGGGCAUGGCUCCAUCAUAAACCUGCAUUUCCAUCACCCAGUACAGGUUCCUGGACUUUUGUUGGAGGGAAAGAGGAACAGAAAGAGGAGCAGGCAGGAGAAGCAAGAGCUCCCGGGGGCUAUGAAAGGUAACAUACCUGGAGAGUUUGGGGAGAUGGCGGCUUGUGAGAGACAAGGGGAAGAGACAGAAACAGGAGUAUUCUAAGAAGCAUGGCUGUGAGUUAUGAAAAGGAUCCUCUUUGACAUUCUUCAAAGAACACCAGUAAAGGAUUGCUUUGCAU